rnacentral:misc_RNA from 1 species
AAGUCGUAACAAGGUUUCCGUAGGUGAACCUGCGGAAGGAUCAUUAUAGUAGAGGAUUGUGGAGGGAUGAUAAAGAGUGAGAUAAAGUAUAAAGAUAAAAAAUUUCAAUUCAAAAACAACUUUUAACGGUGGAUCUCUUGGUUCCU